GAUGAUAGAAAGACAAGACAGAAGGGGAGGGAGUGAAAUCAAUUAUGCAUCCUUUUUUUCCUGGAACCAAUCUGGUUGCCCUCUCGCUAGGUGCAAAUUCAGUCCCACUGCAUUAACCAAUCUGGAUUAAGCUCCUGUCCUCCCUUUUUUCCUUACUUAAUGGGAUUGUAGCAAGGAUAAAGGCAGUUUAUGAGACAGUGUGUUGUGGGGGUCAGAGAGAGACAAGAUGUGUAAACCAGUAUGGUCUGAAAUACGGCUAUGUUCUUCUGACACUGAUGGAGAGAGCUUGAAAAGCUUGUUGCUGCUCUGGGCACGCUUCCCAAGCAGGCAAUACCUCAGCCUCCUGCUGAGUCACAGCAGGUGAGGAGAGUACACAGGUGCUGACCCACCCUGUAAGCACGCAUUCUGGAUUUAAGGAAGGAGGGGAGGGAAGGGGCCCUGAAUACAGGGAAUAACUUAUACUCCAUCUCUGAAGCCAGUCUCUCUAGGCUGGAGGUACAUGGCCCAAGGGGGAAGUAGCUUGAGGUACCACUGGCUUUGUUGUCCUACAGCCACUGGGGUCUGCUGCAGGUCCUUGGAGUCCUAAGCACUCAGCCCCUUGGAUGUGCUCAGGUAGCUGAAUCCUGCACCCCUUGGGCUCAUGACUGAAUGAAAAAAAAAAUGGAGGAAGCUGAAGAAGCCAAUCUCUUUGCUUUCAAAACCUCAGCUUAGCUACAAUUCAGGCUAAAACAAAUUGGGAGCCUUUGAAUGCCAAAAUGACAGCUCAGUUAUUCUCCUUUUCUUUCAACUAGAUUAGCUGGGACACGUUCUAUCUGCAGUGACAAAUGUUUUCUAGUGCCCCAGACUUGCUCUUUUUCUUCUUUUUAACUGAAUGUAAUAUUUCUUUGGCGUAGCGUUAUCUGAGUGUAGCUCAGCAAUGCAGCUCUUCAUUUCACUUGCUUCAGCUAGCCAUUGGCAGAAAGACAGUUAAAGACCUCUGUGAAACUA